UACAGAGGGUGCGAGCGUUAAUCGGAUUUACUGGGCGUAAAGCGCGCGUAGGCGGUUAAUUAAGUCAAAUGUGAAAUCCCCGAGCUUAACUUGGGAAUUGCAUUCGAUACUGGUUAGCUAGAGUAUGGGAGAGGAUGGUAGAAUUCCAGGUGUAGCGGUGAAAUGCGUAGAGAUCUGGAGGAAUACCGAUGGCGAAGGCAGCCAUCUGGCCUAAUACUGACACUGAGGUGCGAAAGCAUGGGGAGCAAACAGGAUUAGAAACCCUUGUAGUCC
rnacentral:rRNA from 1 species